GGCAUGGUGGCCAAGUGGUAAGGCUUUGGUCUUGUAAACCAGAGAUCAUGGGUUCAAACCCCAUCCAUGCCU
rnacentral:tRNA from 1 species